UCAGGCAUGGCCUUUACAUCCACGGGCAGAGCUGCCCUUUCCACUGGCUGCCAAAGCCAAAGCGUGCACAGGCAGAGGAAUGCAGGCAAUGUGCUGACUGCUGAUGAGAGUCAGCACAAAGCCACGCUGUGCUGAGCGGCAGGGCAGCGGGCUCCUUCCCCGUAUGGCCACAGGAAUGAGGCAAAUGCGGAACUCAAUCUGGCAUUUCCUGGCCCAGAGCAGUGAAGACCACUGUCUCUCCUCUUGAUGCUCAGGAAUCUGGAUUCCCAGUGUCUACAGGCAACAAGCCCAGGGGCAACCUCCCAGGCCGGUCCCCAUUUCCAUGAUAAGAGUUUGUGACCAGGAUAUGAGAAGUUCCAGGUGAAAGCUAGAAAAUGUUGUCGACCUGCUAGACUCACUCCCAUUUUACAGAUGUGGACAUGGAGACCAAGAAAGCUAACAGGUACUGACUGGUUAACAUCUGUGAAGAGCAGACAGCCAGAUCCACAGCUGUGUCUUCGUGACCCCAAAGCUGAAGGUUGGUGUCUACAGUGUGAAAGGAUGGUGUCUAGUGUUUUACUAGAAAGAAAGGGUCUCAGUCCUGGGUGAUGUCCUCCCAAUCUUAGAUGGCCUUGGCUAUGGAGAACCUGACAUGUAGUGGGUUGUUGAUGAAUUCUU